CAGUAGCCACGGUAAUACGUAGGGUCCGAGCGUUGUCCGGAAUUAUUGGGCGUAAAGAGCUCGUAGGCGGUCUGUCGCGUCUGCCGUGAAAUCCUCAGGCUCAACCUGAGGCGUGCGGUGGGUACGGGCAGGCUAGAGUGCGGUAGGGGAGAAUGGAACUCCUGGUGUAGCGGUGGAAUGCGCAGAUAUCAGGAAGAACACCGAUGGCGAAGGCAGUUCUCUGGGCCGUAACUGACGCUGAGGAGCGAAAGCGUGGGGAGCGAACAGGAUUAGAUACCCGAGUAGUCCCUGUCUCUUAUAC
rnacentral:rRNA from 1 species